AUUGAACGCUGGCGGCAUGCUUUACACAUGCAAGUCGAACGGUAACAGGGAGCUUGCUCCGCUGACGAGUGGCGAACGGGUGAGUAAUGCGUCGGAACGUGCCGAGUAGUGGGGGAUAACGCAUCGAAAGGUGUGCUAAUACCGCAUACGAACUGAGGUUGAAAGUGGGGGACCUUCGGGCCUCACGCUAUUCGAGCGGCCGACGUCUGAUUAGCUAGUUGGUGAGGUAAAGGCACACCAAGGCGACGAUCAGUAGCGGGUCUGAGAGGAUGAUCCGCCACACUGGGACUGAGACACGGCCCAGACUCCUACGGGAGGCAGCAGUGGGGAAUGUUGGACAAUGGGCGCAAGCCUGAUCCAGCCAUGCCGCGUGUCUGAAGAAGGCCUUCGGGUUGUAAAGGACUUUUGUCCGGGAGCAAAUGCUGGUGGCUAACAUCCACCGGAGCUGAGAGUACCGGAAGAAUAAGCACCGGCUAACUACGUGCCAGCAGCCGCCGUAAUAC
rnacentral:rRNA from 1 species